rnacentral:rRNA from 1 species
UACGUAGGGUGCGAGCGUUAAUCGGAAUCACUGGGCGUAAAGCGCACGUAGGCGGCUUGUUAAGUCGGGGGUGAAAUCCUGGAGCUCAACUCCAGAACUGCCUUCGAUACUGGCGAGCUUGAGUCCGGGAGAGGUGAGUGGAACUGCGAGUGUAGAGGUGAAAUUCGUAGAUAUUCGCAAGAACACCAGUGGCGAAGGCGGCUCACUGGCCCGGUACUGACGCUGAGGUGCGAAAGCGUGGGGAGCAAACAGG